rnacentral:siRNA from 1 species
GGGAGUGAUAGGACAAGCAAUGUC